UUAAACGUCCAUACCACGUUGAAUGCACCAGUUCUCGUCGAAUCACCGAACUUAAGUAACGUCGGGUGCGGUCAGUUGUUGGAUGGGUGACCGUCUGGGAACACCUCGUGACGUAGGCU
rnacentral:rRNA from 1 species